ACCGCGCGUUGGGAUUCGUAGUGUUGUUGAAGACCGGAGGAGUGUCUGCAGUCAGCGACUCUCCACCAACUUCAACUACUGGAUCAACCAUGGUGGGAGACCCAGCCUGGCAAGCAUGCGUCCUGGGCUGUCUGUGGACCUGGAACCUGCUGUCAUAGGAUGGGGUAAGAACUGACAUUUAUAGGCAGCUCUUCUACCCUGGGCAGCUGGUAUCUGGCGUGGAAGAUGCUGCCAACAACUAUGCCUGUGGCCACUACACUGCGGGGAAGGAGACCAUCGAUUUGGUGCUGGAGCAAAUCGGAAAACUGGCGAGCAGGCCUCCGGCACCUACAGGAGGUUGGCAUCAACUACCAGUCCCCCACAGUGGUGCCCGGGGGUGCCGUAGCCAAGGUGCAGUGGGCAGUCUGCAUGCUAAACAAUACCACAGCCAUCACCAAGGCCUGGACCCGCCUCAACCCAAAGUUUGACCUGAUGUAUGCCAAGCAGGCAUUUAUGCACUGGAAGUAAUCAGAGAGCUUUGUGGCAAAGCUCAUGAGGAAGGCGUGAUCUACGUUCUGCUUGGAGUAGAAUUCGCCACAAAAGGCUUCAUCUCUGACGCUGUCAACAGUGGGGUAGGCAUCGGAUGGAGCAUGGAUCAUUAGCAACUGCCCUUUCAAGAUCUGCGGGCUGAAGAGGCUUGAAAUAUGGGCAACAGUUUCUCUGAGCCAGGUGAGGUCAGAAUCUGCCAGGUGGACCAGCACCGUGAGGUGUUUCUGCUCAGCCUUAGAGGAAACACGGAACAGAGAGACCAAUGUGUACAAGAGGCUGCUUCUGUCCCCUUGCUGCACUGACGAUAUCCCCACUGUCAGCCAUGCUGAGGAG
rnacentral:lncRNA from 1 species